AUGCGGUCGUCCCGAAUGAGCGGAGGCCCAGCCGGGGGCGGCGCGAUGGAGUGCAAGAGCCUGGAGGGCGGGCAGAGCGACCUCAAGCUGGUGGCGCACCCGCGCGCCAAGAGCAAAGUGUGGCGCUACUUCGGCUUCGACACGAACGCGGAGGGCUGUAUCCUGCAGUGGAAAAAGAUUUACUGUCGCAUAUGCAUGGCCCAGAUCGCCUACUCGGGCAACACCUCCAACCUGUCCUACCACCUGGAGAAGAACCACCCCGACGAGUUCUGCGAGUUCGUAAAGAGCAACACGGAACAGAUGCGCGAGGCCUUCGCCAGCGCCUUCUCCAAGCUGAAGCCGGACCCCGCGCAGCCCGGCGGCGCCCAGGAGCCGCUGGCCGCCAAGGCCGGCGCGCACGGCCACGAGAGCCGCAAGCAGCAGGAGCUCACCGCCGCCGUCAUGGGCCUCAUCUGCGAGGGCCUCUACCCGGCCUCCAUCGUCGACGAGCCCACGUUCAGGGCGCUGCUGAAGGCCGCCGAGCCGCGCUACGAGCUGCCGGGCCGAAAGUUCUUCUCCGGCAAGGCCAUCCCCGAGCGCUAUGGCGCCGUGCGGGAGGCGGUGCUCAAGGAGCUGGCGGACGCCGCCUGGUGCGGCGUCUCCACCGACCUGUGGCGCAGCCAGACCCAGAACCGCACUUACGUGACGCUGUCGGCACACUUCCUGGGCCGCGCGGCCCCCCACGGGCUGGCGGUGGGCUCCCGCUGCCUCAAGACCUUCGAGGUGCCCGAGGAGAACGCGGCCGAGACCAUCACGCGCGUCCUCUACGAAGCGUUCAUCGAGUGGGGCGUCCACGCCAAGGUCUUCGGCGCCACCACGGACCGCGGCAAGGACCUGGCGCAGGCCUGCUCGCUGCUCGACAUCCCGGUGCACAUGCCGUGCCUCGGCCACACCUUCGACGCGGCCAUCCGCCAGGCCUUCCGGCUGCCCAAGCUGGGCGCGCUGCUGGGCCGCUGCGCCAAGCUGGUGGCCUACUUCCAGCAGUCGUCCGUGGCCAUGGCGAUGCUCCACGAGAAGCAGAGGCAGCAGAACGCGGCGCCCUGCACGCUGGUGAGCAACCGCGUGGCCUGGUGGGGCAGCACGCUCGCCAUGCUGCAGCGCCUCAAGGAGCAGCAGUUUGCCAUCGCCGGGGUCCUGCUGGAGGACACCAACAACCACCACCUGAUGCUGGAGGCCGCCGAGUGGGCCACCAUCGAGGGCCUGGUGGAGCUGCUGCAGCCCUUCCGGCAGGUGGCCGAGGUGCUGUCGGCCUCCAAGCACCCCACCAUCAGCAUGGUCAAGCCGCUGCUGCACAUGCUUCUGAACACGACGCUCAACCCCAAGGAGACGGACCCCAAGGAGAUCAGCAUGGCGAAGGAGGUGAUCGCCAAGGAGCUCGCCAAGACCUACCAGGACAGCCCCGAGAUCGACCUCUUCCUCAACGUGGCCACCUUCCUGGACCCGCGCUACAAGAGGCUGCCGUUCCUCUCCACUUUCGAGCGGCAGCAGGUGGAGAACCGUGUGCUGGAGGAGGCCAAGGGCCUCCUGGAGAAAGCCAAAGACGGCGCCUACCGCGCGUCUGAGGACAAGGCGGCCACGCCGCCCGAGGAGCCGCCGCCGGCCAAGAAGCCGGCGCCCUCGCCCACCCCGCCGCCCGCCAGCGUCAUCAACGACAUGCUGGCCGAGAUCUUCUGCCCCACCGGGGGCGUGGAGGACCAGGAGGAGCGGCACGCCCAGGUGGUGGAGGAGCUGAGCAACUUCAAGUCGCAGAAGCCCCUGGGGCUCAACGAGGACCCGCUCAAGUGGUGGUCGGACCGCCUGGCGCUGUUCCCCGUGCUGCCCAAGGUGCUGCAGAAGUACUGGGCCGUGGCGGCCACGCGCGUCGGCCCCGAGCGCCUCUUCGGCUCGCGCGCCACCGUGGUGAGCGCCAAGCGCAACCGCCUGGCCCCCGCGCACGUGGACGAGCAGGUGUUCCUGUACGAGAAUGCGCGCGGCGGCGCCGACGCCGAGCUGGAGGACGAAGACGAGGGCGAGUGGGGCCUGGACCACGAGCAGGCCUUCGCGCCCGGCGAGGCGGCCCACGCCGGCUUCUUCGGCGUCCGGGACGGCAGCUUCGUGUAGCCGGGGCGGGGGCUGGCGGGCGCCCGCAGGGGCGGGGGCGGUGCGCAGCCGCGCGCCCGGGGGCGGUACCCGUGUGGAUGCCCGGCUGUCGGGACUGACGCCCCCGCCACCCCAGCGCGGGUGGGCGCACUGCUGCUGGAAAGGCGGGAAUCCAGCCGAAGAGGGACAGGGAUUUUGGGGGUGUGUGUGUGUGUGUGUGUGUACGUGCCCCAGAGGGCAGACGUGGACUCUGGGUGGUCCAGAGAAGGGAGAUGGACUCUGGGUGGUCCCAGACAUGACAGACAGACUUUGGAUGCCCGAGGACAAAGACGGACUCUGGAUGGUCCACAGAGGACAGAGAUGGACUCUGGGUGGUCCCAGACAAGAGAGACAGACUGCGUGGUCCACAGACGAGAGAGACGGACUCUGGGUGGUCCACAGAGGAGAGAGAGACGAGGCUCUUGAGUAGUCCAAACCUGGAGAAAAGAAGUGAAGUGUUUCUUCUGCAGGGGGCGGCAGCGGUGUGUGUGGGGGGACCCCCUUGUAUCCCAGGAACAGGGAAAGAAAUGACUUGUAAAAACCGGCGGCGUCCGCCCAUCGGAUCACCAAUCUCAACGCCCCCGACGCUAGCAUGGCCGGCGGGGGCGUUCUGACUCCCCUCUGUUAAUUCCGUACCUGCAGUGUCCCAUGUUGUCACGCCAGGGAGGGUUUGGGGUGAAUCAGGGACACAUGUUAAUCAGGGGGCCGCUGAGGACGAAAGCCCCUUCCGUGUUCCCCAAAGCCCACCUGCCCCCGAGCACCACCUGCACGCUGCACCCGCGCCCCGGGCACCAUCCGCGGCUGUUAGCCCCGUCGGUCCGUAAAGCAGCACGCCUACCUUGUCAAUUACCAGGGAACCUGGAGACACGCUUUAGCCACCCGCCCUGUCUUCAAGGCGUGAUGAAACAUGUUACCCUCAGCCCGUGGUGCCAUCGCUUAUAAAAAAGCCGAAAAAGAGAUCCUGGGUGUGGUUUCUUUUCUG
rnacentral:lncRNA from 1 species